UACGGAGGAUCCAAGCGUUAUCCGGAAUCAUUGGGUUUAAAGGGUCCGUAGGCGGUUUAGUAAGUCAGUGGUGAAAGCCCAUCGCUCAACGGUGGAACGGCCAUUGAUACUGCUAAACUUGAAUUAUUAGGAAGUAACUAGAAUAUGUAGUGUAGCGGUGAAAUGCUUAGAGAUUACAUGGAAUACCAAUUGCGAAGGCAGGUUACUACUAAUGGAUUGACGCUGAUGGACGAAAGCGUGGGUAGCGAACAGG
rnacentral:rRNA from 3 species